rnacentral:rRNA from 1 species
GAUGAACGCUGGCGGCGUGCUUAAUACAUGCAAGUCGAGCGAACAGACGAAGAUUUUGCUCCUCUGUCGUUAGCGGCGGACGGGUGAGUAACACGUGGAUAACCUACCUAUAAGACUGGAAUAACUGCGGGAAACCGUAGUUAAUGCUGUAUAAUAUAUUGGACCGCAUGGUUCAAUAGAGAAAGACGGGUUUGCUGUGAAUUAUAGAUGGAUCCGCGCCGCAUUAGCUAGUUGGUAAGGUAACGGCUUAACAAGGAAACGAUGCGUAGGCGACGUGAGAGAGUGAUCGGCCACACUGGAACUGAAACACGCACCAGACUACUAAGGGAGGCAGCAGUCGGGAAUCUUCCGCAAUAGGCGGGAGCCUGACGGAACAGCGCCGAGUGAGAUAUAGAGGCCUUGCGAUCGUAAAGCUCUGUUAUUAGGUGAGAACAUAUGUGUAAGUAACUAUAGACGGCUUGACGGUACCUGAUCAGAAAGCCACGGCUAACUACGUG